rnacentral:rRNA from 1 species
GUCUUUUUGUAUUGUAUCUAAAGUCUAACCUGCCCAUUGAAUUUUUAAAAGGCUGCGGUAUUUUGACCGUACAAAGGUAGCAUAAUCAUUAGUUUUUUAAUUGAAAACUUGUAUGAAUGGUUGAAUGAGAAAUUAACUUUUUUAAUAUAAAAAUUGAAUUUUACUUUUUAGUUAAAAGGCUAAAAUUUAUUUAAAAGACGAGAAGACCCUAUAGAGUUUUAUAAUUAAGGUUAUAUUUUUUAAUAAGUUUAUUUAACAAUAUAUAAAUUAAAUUAUUUUAUUGGGGUGAUAGUAAAAUUUAAUAAACUUUUAUUAAUUAUUUAACAUUAAUAUAUGAUUAAUUGAUCCAAUAAUAUUGAUUAAAAAUUUAAAUUACCUUAGGGAUAACAGCGUAAUUUUUUUUUAAGUUCUUAUUAAUAAAAGAUUUUGCGACCUCGAUGUUGGAUUAAGAUUAAAUUUUAGGUGCAGCAGCUUAAAUUUUAAGUCUGUUCGACUUUUAAAUUCUU